AUUUGCUGCAGGCAGAAAUCUUAAUUAAGGCCUUUCCUAAAGAGUGACCUUCAGGGAGGGCAUUACUGAAUUGGUGUGAAAAUAGACAAGUGGCCAAAUUGCCCUGGUGGGACGGUGGAGAACUUGGAUAUCUCUCUCCCACCAAAGAAUGGGCUGUGCUGGAUAUAGGCCAGGCUGCAGGAUCAAUGAUCAAUGAUCAAUGAGCCCUGCACCCCAUGAAAUAGCCUAACACUGGGGAGACGUGAAAGGGAGGACUUUUCUUUUUGGCGAAUGCACGUCCGCUCCUCACACUGGAAUAUUCUGCAUCUCCCUGCAUGCAUGUCUUCUCUGUGAAUUCUGGGCCUGCGCGAGUCUGAGAAGAGCAAUGCUCCCUAACAGCAUACGUGUAUCUGUGUUUCCUCGGGGGAAAACGCUCGCAUAUCUGCGGUCCUUGACGAUAUCGUCUGACAGGUUUUAGAAGGAGAUGGUUUCUUCUUGGUCAGCAAACCAGGAUGAGAUGGGAACACAUUCCGAUCUGAUCAGGGAGACCUUAUACAGUGUUUGCCCUCCUUUUUGAGAGAAAUUGGAAGGCAUCCUCCACUAAGGUGAAGAUGGAUUGUGCAGCUUCAGGGGGCACAGGCUCCUGGCCGGGUGCCAGCAAGCGCGACUGCGCACCUCGGAUCAGUGAGGCUUGCUUCUGCCAGAUUUCUCGCGGCUGUGUGAAGUAUUGCAGCCAAAUGUCUCUCAAUUUGCUCAUUUCUUGGCCAAAGUUACUCCCUGAUACUUAAACUCUAAGACAUUGAUCAACUUCUCAUGCACUUGUGGAGGCCCACGGAUGCAUCUGACCUUCCCUUUCAGCAAGGCGUGACCGUGCCUCUCUGGGAGCUUCUGCACCGGAUGCACCUGACCUUCCCUUUCAGCAAGGCGUGACAGUGCCUCUCUGGGAGCUUCUGCACCGGAUGCACCUGACCUUCCCUUUCAGCAAGGCGUGACCGUGCCUUUCUGGGAGCUUCUGCAAUCAGGGCAGUGGAUCUACCCAAGUCGUCUGGUCACAGUUCUCAGUAUCCUCUGAUCUAACAUUUUCCUGUGAGUCCAGAGGAACAAAUACCUUCACAGCCGCCACUUAAUGUGUUGCCCAUUAGUAGCGGAUCCGCAAGUCUCGAGCUUUCUGUUUGCAUUAGCGGAAGAAAAACAACAAAGUCAAUCUCAGAGUUUUUUAAACCACUGGGAAAACUAUAAAGAUGGCAAAUGCUUUUGAGUAACAAUUAUUAGGCAGAAGACACCACGGUUAUUUCAACCUGCCUGGUCUUUAGGUAAGACGAACUCUGAACUUCUCAAACCAGCACUUUCUGAAGCCUAGAAGAAGAAUAUGUAAGGAAGAAGAGACUCCAACACAAUUGUAUACAAGAAAUGCUGGAUGAGGGAUCCUAAUAAUUAGCAUAUUAGGAUCAAACACUCUUGGGUGUCUCUCUUGGGUGAAAUAUCUGGUGAGCCUGAAUGAGAGGGGGUCAAAAUACUGUGGGAUAUUUAAAUUAAAAUGUCUCCAUACACCACAUACUUUCAUAUCAUGAGGGUCUGUCUAGGCAAGCUGCUGCUACAGGUGCACGGACAACAAAGACCUCAGCCUUGCAGCUGACUGACAAUUUUGUGAUAAACAGAAGCACACGUUAGCUGUCAGAACUCUGCCUGGCUGAAGGGUCACCACUGCACCCGGUACCAAAGCAGGUCCAUGGAUGUUACCUGUGGGAAUAGCCUGGUGAGAUCUGCAAUAAAAACUGCAAUCGUGAGGAAACUUCCAGAACAUUGAGGCUGAUCACUGACCACCAGGUAAACUGGCAAGGAAGGAUGCCACACAGUGUCCACCUGGGUGCCAUCAAGAACGGACACAAUAGCUGUUGCUUUCACAGCGAAAGGAGACUUCUCGUUCACCAGCCUCAGUGGGGGCCCGGCCCCUCCUGCACCUGCUGCCCCCAGCGGGGCUCUGUGAUGCUGCAUCUCCCACAACUGUCCAGCCAGUCAUGCUGAAGACCCCUUACUUCCUGGAGCAUUUCUAAUUUUAAGUUUUGUGCACCCACACCAGGAAAGAAGGUUUAGUUCUAUACUCUGGAGAGGUAUAUGACCGUGUGCUCACAGGCAGACCCACACAUCCUUGGUCUCUCAAAAGCAAUAAAAGGUGCUUUUGCAAACUAUAGGCCUCCUUCAAAAUCCUGAGAUUCCCAGCAAGGUUUUGGGUCACCCCUCCCAGGCUUGAAUCAGUGACACGGCAACCCAUGGAAGAAGCAAAUCUACUAAAUUUACUUGUGUUUGAAGAGGAGUUAAGCUGCAAUAAAGGAACUGUCACCCGCUUGCAGGGGCCUCAGUCCUGCCUCUGUCAGGGCCUCUGGCCUGUGGACGGAAGUCUGAGUGGGUGUCACUCGGGUGCAUGAGCUGGGCCUCAGGGUGAAGUCCAGGUUGUGUAGUUUAAAACAUCCAUUUUCUAACCUGUGUUACUUUAAUCUUUAUUUGUUUUCUCACAACACUUAGAUGGAAAAAGAAACGGGAUCAUGUUGUCUGGUUAUUGCAUUAAAAAUCUUUAAGCAUGCAAGAAAGAAUUAUUUUUCAAUAAAUUUUGGUAAGAUGUCUGCAU
rnacentral:lncRNA from 1 species